CCCACUGAGCUACAUCCCUGGACCUGAGUGUUGAGAUUUUUACUGAGGAACCUAAGAGCAAAGCAAAGGGACCUCUGAGACGUGCUGUCUACUAGAUGCUGCCAAUGACCAAUUAAACCCACCCUCAAAGAAUUCAAGUAAGGAUUUUCAAUCAAUACUCAGCAUGGAGGGAAGAGGAGAAGAAAGGAGACAGAAGGAAAUGCUGAGUAGAAGCCUUGGAUGAAAAUCAGCCAGGAGCAACCAGAUUUCAGCAACCAAGAAGGAAGAUGGUGGACGCCUCCGGAUAUUCCGUUCUGAAGCACUAGAGGGCAGUAAAGUACUGGGAAGCAAGUGAAGACUAACAAAGAACGUUCUCUCCCACCGCCACCUCCCCCCAGCCACAUGCUGCUAAAAAAGAAAGAUGGAAUGCAGAGAGAAACAUUGAAAAGAAGUGCGUACUGUAUACCAGAGCGCAAGGACGCAUUUUAUUUCAGUACUAAAGUGAGGGGAUAAAGGGUUGUUUCAAUAUACCCUGAAAUAAUUGCAACCGAAAUUCUUGCACGUUAUAGGAUGAAUUAUAGGGGCUGAAAAAUCUUGUUGAGCAUUGUAAGUGUUCCCUCCCUCCUUCCCUACCCCCCCACCAGAUGCCCAACUCCACCAAAUGGAAAUACAGCAGAAUGAGUGGCAACUCCAGAUUUGCGGUCCGUGGCUCCCACCUGAGUUAAGAAGAGUCUAGCUACGGGACUCAGACAAUUGGAGCUUCACCCCCUCUUUUUACCUUUUCCCAUGGCGACUAGUUUAAAAAUAUAAUUAUUUUCUUCUAGAUUGAGCACAUAGAG